AUACUUACCUGGCAGGGGAGAUACCAUGAUCACAAAGGUGGUUUUCCCAGGGUCAGGCUCAUCCAUUUGCACUCUGGAUGUGUUGACUCUUGCGAUUUCCCCAAAUACGGGAAACACGACUGCAUAAUUUGUGGUAGUGGGGGACUGCGUUCGCACUCUCCCCUG
rnacentral:snRNA from 1 species